GACGAACGCUGGCGGCGUGCUUAACACAUGCAAGUCGAACGGAAAGGCCCUGCUUUUGUGGGGUGCUCGAGUGGCGAACGGGUGAGUAACACGUGAGUAACCUGCCCUUGACUUUUGGAUAACUUCAGGAAACUGGGGCUAAUACCGGAUAGGAGCUCCUGCUGCAUGGUGGGGGUUGGAAAGUUUCGGCGGUUGGGGAUGGACUCGCGGCUUAUCAGCUUGUUGGUGGGGUAGUGGCUUACCAAGGCUUUGACGGGUAGCAGGCCUGAGGGGGUGACCGGCCACAUUGUGACUGAGAUACGGCCCAGACUCCUACGGGAGGCAGCAGUGGGGAAUAUUGAACAAUGGGCGGAAGACUGAUGCAGCAACGCAGAGUGCGGGAUGACGGCCUUCGGGUUGUAAACCGCUUUCGCCUGUGACGAAGCGUGAGUGACGGUAAUGGGUAAAGAGGCACCGGCUAACUACGUG
rnacentral:rRNA from 1 species